UGUCCUCCAAUGUAUCUUUUUACAUACUAUAAAAAGUGUGCUGUGAGUCUGUGUGUUAUCUCUUUGCACACAGACUCAAGCUUUGUGUAAACCAGAUCAUUCUCUGCAGAGAAUUAAAGCAAUACAAAGACAAAACUCUGUUUGGUGUUUCAUUCUCAGUCUCUACAAAUUGUUAUUGAAUUAGAAUUUCCACGACAAACUUGGCGACGAGUGACAGGAUUCCACAGCUGAUCGUCCGGGACCUGAGGACGUUAGUUGGCUGAUCACCCUAGACCCACAAACGGUUUAGCCCUAAACCCCAAAAGGUUUCAGGGAAGGGGGGACUGACGUCUGAGGGCUUGUGGACCUUCACUGCUGGUUUUCUCAACGGAUCAGAAAAACGCGUGCUACAAACAGAUCAUGGGGGAGACCUGUGGCCUAUUUUUCGAGUAAGCUCGAUCCGGUAGCGGCAGGCAUGCCAAAAUGCCUGAGAGCUGUUGCAUCUGCAGAAAAAGCUAUUUUAUCUUAAAUGGAAAUUGUGGGGUACUCUGAUGUGACUUUGCUCGUGCCACGCACGGUCUCUGUGAUCCUGUUGGAACAGAAAACAUCCCAUUUGUCAACCGACAGAUGGCUCAGCAUGCAAGCUUUUGCCACAGCAGAGGAGAAGAAACAAUGGGUGAAGGCCAAGUGCAAACUGAUAAACAACCUUUGGCUGAGUACUGAAGGCAGACCAUGUCUACCAAAACACUUUUUCCCACACUAUGCAAAACUUAUACAUGGCCUAGAUCACAUGAGUUAAGGGGGAAUGUUUGAUUUGCUAAAUCAAUAUUGGUUCAAAAGGGGAUUCACUUUCUUUGCGGAAAGGUAUUGUCAAUCAUGGAUGAUCUGUGCCACAAGCAAAGUGGACAGAGGGCAAAUGAUUAUGGGAUCAGAAUCCCGCCAAAUGUAUUGCAGUCAUAGAUCAAUAAUAAGCAUAAAUAAAAU
ensembl:lncRNA